rnacentral:piRNA from 1 species
UCAACCAGUAACUGAUUGUGA